UCUUGCAAUCUCUUAAAUCAAGCACCAGCAGUUUAGAAAGUUGUUUAAUGCUUUCUGGUAUGCUCUCGAAAUCAUUUCCAUGUAAAGUUAUUUUUUCCAAUGAUGUUAGAGAGCCAAGACUAUCGGGAAGUUCUAACAUCUCACAAUUGUUAAGAAAAAGACAUCUCAGAUUAGUCAAACCUGUCAAAGGAGGCAAUAUUAAACCUUUACAUCCAGAGCAUUUCAACAUUGUCAAUUUCCCCAAUUGAUUGAUGGAGGAUGGCAAUUUCGUGAUUCCACUUUCAUCUGCAAUAAGCAUACCCAAGGAUUUUAAAUUCCCCAAGUUCUCUGGCAAUCCACUGAGGUUUACGCAUCCACUUACGUUGAUUGAUAUAAGAGAUUUGAGAUCACAAAUGCUGUCAGGAAUCUCAACCAGAUUUGUACAUCUAGAGCAAGCUAAUCCUUCUAUUUGCCUUAAUUGAUUCAAGGAGGACGGUAAUUUUGUUAUUCCACUUUCAUUUGCAUGAAGUCUCUUCAAAGAUUCUAAAUUUCCCAUGUUCUCUGGCAUUCCAUUGAGAUUGACGCAUCCACUUACGUCAAAGAAUAUAAGCGAUUUGAGAUUGCAAAUGGCGUCAGGAAGACUUGCUAGUUUUGAGCAUCCACUGAAAUCAAGUUCAUAAAGACAUUUCAACUCACCGAUGCUACCUGGAAUACUCUUGAGGCUCAUACAUGAAUUCAACUCUAAUUCACGAAGUAGAGAGAGACAUCCAAUUGACGAGGGAAUUCCAACCAAAUUUCUACAUUUAGAGCAAUCCAAUUGAAUCAAUUGCUUCAGUUGAUUCAUGGAGGAUGGUAACUUCGUUAUUCCACUUUCAUCUGCAUAAAGUCUCUUCAAAGAUCCUAAAUUCCCCAAGUUCUCUGGCAGUCCAUUGAGAUUCACGCAUUUACUUACUUUAAGUUCUAUAAGAGAUUUGAGAUUGCAAAUGGCGUCGGGAAGACUUGAUAAUUUUGAGCAUCCACUAAAAUCAAGUUCAUAGAGACAUUUCAAGUCACCUAUGCUACUUGGAAUGCUCUUGAGGCUCAUACAUGAAUUCAACUCUAAUUCACGAAGUAGAGAGAGACAUCCAAUUGACGAGGGAAUUCCAACCAAAUUUCUACAUUUAGAGCAAUCCAAUUGAAUCAAUUGCUUCAGUUGAUUCAUGGAGGAUGGUAACUUCGUUAUUCCACUUUCAUCUGCAUAAAGUCUCUUCAAAGAUCCUAAAUUCCCCAAGUUCUCUGGCAGUCCAUUGAGAUUCACGCAUUUACUUACUUUAAGUUCUAUAAGAGAUUUGAGAUUGCAAAUGGCGUCGGGAAGACUUGAUAAUUUUGAGCAUCCACUAAAAUCAAGUUCAUAGAGACAUUUCAAGUCACCUAUGCUACUUGGAAUG
rnacentral:misc_RNA from 1 species